UACGUAGGGGGCAAGCGUUGUCCGGAUUUAUUGGGCGUAAAGAGCGUGUAGGCGGCCAGAUAGGUCAGCUGUGAAAACUCGAGGCUCAACCUCGAGAUGUCGGCUGAAACCAUCUGGCUAGAGUCCGGAAGAGGAGAAUGGAAUUCCCGGUGUAGCGGUGAAAUGCGCAGAUAUCGGGAAGAACACCCGUGGCGAAGGCGGUUCUCUGGGACGGUACUGACGCUGAGGUGCGAAAGCGUGGGGAGCAAACAGG
rnacentral:rRNA from 1 species